GGGGCAAAAGAGUAGGGAAAAGUGCGAAAAGAAGCAACAGCCGCUCCACCCGGGACCAGAAAAGUGGCCAGCCGCGUCCCGGCCGCCCGCCCUGCGCCGGGGAUGCGGCGGCUAACGGUCCAAGGAGGCGGCAGGGGCGGCAGGAGCCGCUAGGCGGAGAGAGACCAGGAGUGAAGAAAAGGGGAAGAGAGAAGCAACAUUUGAAGAAAGAGGAGCCGAGAUUUUCCAGGAUUGGACAACACAAACGCUCAGAUCCAGAGUGCACUAGUAGCAGAAAUCCUCACCAAGAAGCCUGUGACUUCCUGGAGACGGUGGAAGAAGCCCUGUGGUUCUAGAGAAACUCAAGACCAAAGCUACUGACUGACUUCCUCACGGAGGGGGCACAGCCUGGAAUAUUCCUCUGUACCCUCGAGUCAUGUUGGGAGAGAGAUCAGGUUCUUCUAACUUGCCCAUUAAUGUAUAUGAAUUACUUAGUUAAUGCCACAAUAUUCACUGAGUUGCUUCUGUUUGAAAAGAGCUGUAUCAGACCCUGGAAAUGUAAAAAUGCUGUCCAAUGUAGAAGGUAUAAUUGGAUGAGGACAUAAGUUACUACAAUGCAAAGUUAAAUCAGAGGCAGAUUUAGCAUGAAGUGAAUGAAACUCCUGUGUCAGUGCCCCUCACUUACAUGGGCCCCUUCUGAUGCUCUAGGAGAAACCCUAUGAACAUACUUUUGUGCUCAUACAUUUUGGUAAACUUUGCAAAAGUGAGAAUUAAGAAAAAAAAAAAACUUCAGUUAAACUUUUUCCUGUCUUACUUCCCCUACUGUUGAAAUGC